GACUUUGAGAGUCAUCAGCAUAUGGAAAAUCUCACCAGCCAGGAUGAGGUACCCAGAGAUACCAGGUGAGAAGAGAGGACUCCUGACAUGUAAAGACCAAGCGGAGGAGGCAGGCAGACAGGAAGGAGGAAGUUGAGAGACUGGAGCGUCUGUAUUAUCAUCAUCAUCAUCAUGGUUAUUCUUGUUUAGAAACAGGGUCUGUCUCUGUCACCCAGGCUGGAGUACAGUGGCCCAAUCAUGGCUUAUUGCAACCUUGACCUUCUGGGCUCAAGCCAUCCUCCUGCCUCAGCUUCCCAUGUAGCUAGGACUGCAGGCCUUUUCUGAUGCCAUUAAAAAAUGGCAGGAGCUAUCACCAGAAACCAGUGGAAAAAGGAAAAAGAGAAAAGAAAUGAACCAGUAUUCUUAAAUUGAUUUCAA